CUCUUGGAUUCAUUUAAAUGUUUGUUUUAUGUUGCCACACCCGUUUGUUUUCCAUCAUUCCUUUUGUUUCAGUGUUCCUGCAGGCAGCUGCUCAAGUCUUCUGCCCUUUCUUGCAGGUAAGGACUAUGUGUGUUUUCUUUGGUUGGUUUAGUUUGCAUUAGGUAGAGUAGGACCUGCCAGAUAUGGGGUACAUUGGCGUUGUUGGCAGGCUUAUGCAAUGUAUGAUCAUAUAAUGUGACUAAAUCCCCAUGAUUUUCAUAUAUAGUACUUAGUUAUUUCUUCUCUUGUUUUGCCUAUCAUAUCUUGUCUUGUUUUAGUUUGUAUUCCCAGUCCAUGUACAGUCCUGUCCUGCCCCUGUUUAGUUAAUGUUCCCUUAUGUAUU